CCAAAAGAUGAAAAGAAUGGAAAGGAAAAGGUUUAUUUUCAGAUUUCAUUUUGGAUACUCUAUGCUGCUCCUUUGACAAAUGGAUGUUUGGCAAGUUUCCAGUUUGGGGCUACUGUGAUCGUGCUACUAGCCAUAUCCUGGGGGUUGCAUACUCCACUUGUUUCAGGACCCAAGAAGAGGAAGCAGAUAAAAGAACUGGGCACUUGUAAAACAACAGUGAGAGAAGGGAUAAUCAUGUUGAGCUGCGUGAAGAUGGCCUGCAUGACCCGAAAGCGUGGUAAAAUCCCAACUAGAAGCUAUUAGGUUAUUUAUUUUUCCUCAUUUUCACACAAAAUUGCUCCUUAUCUUUUGUUUCAUUCAUUGCCAGUGUUUUCAUUUUAUCUGAUACUUUACCACUUCUUCACUAUAUGCCUGUUUUUACUUCUUAUGAAGACUCAAUUUUGUUAUGAGUAAAGCAAGUUUAAAAUUUUUUUCUUGCAAAAUAGAAAUAUAGGUUAGAAUUCCAGAGUUACAUUAAUUCUUUUAUUUUUUUGCUUUUGUUUUAGUUGAAGUAUACUUGAUUUAUAUUAUUAAUAAAAAAGUUUCAGGUGUACAACAUAGUAAUUCACACUUUGAGGGAUUAUACUCCACUUAUAGUUAUUAUAAAAUAUUGGCUAUAUUCUCUGUGCUGUACAAUAUAUGCUCAUAGCUUACUUAUUUUAUAUAUAAUAGUUUGUGCCUUUUAAUCCCCUAUCCUUAAUUUUGAUUUCAGAACUAUAAGUCUUCUCUAUUAUUUUAGUUAGAUUUAUAUUAUUGUUCUUUUUAUAUACUGUUAGGUUAAAUGUUUUUAGUCA
ensembl:lncRNA